CAGCAGCCGCGGGAAUACGUAGGUGGCAAGCGUUGUCCGGAAUUAUUGGGCGUAAAGGGCUCGCAGGCGGUUUCUUAAGUCUGAUGAGAAAGCCCCCGGCUCAACCGGGGAGGGUCAUUGGAAACUGGGAAACUUGAGUGCAGAAGAGGAGAGUGGAAUUCCACGUGUAGCGGUGAAAUGCGUAGAGAUGUGGAGGAACACCAGUGGCGAAGGCGACUCUCUGGUCUGUAACUGACGCUGAGGAGCGAAAGCGUGGGGAGCGAACAGGAUUAGAUACCCGGGUAGUCCCUGUCUCUUAUAC
rnacentral:rRNA from 1 species